GACGAACGCUGGCGGCGUGCUUAACACAUGCAAGUCGAACGGUAAGGCCCCUUCGGGGGUACACGAGUGGCGGACGGGUGCGUAACACGUGCGCAACCUGCCCUUGACUCUGGAAUAACAGUUGGAAACAGCUGCUAAUACUGGAUAUUCAUCGUCUCCUUCCUGGGGGGUGGUGGAAAGCUCCGGCGGUCAGGGAUGGGCUCGCGGCCUAUCAGCUUGUUGGUGAGGUAAUGGCUCACCAAGGCAUCGACGGGUAGCCGGCCUGAGAGGGCGACCGGCCACACUGGGACUGAGAUACGGCCCAGACUCCUACGGGACGCAGCAGUGGGGAAUAUUGCACAAUGGGCGCAAGCCUGAUGCAGCAACGCCGCGUGCGGGAUGACGGCCUUCGGGUUGUAAACCGCUUUCAGUAGGGACGAAGGGUGACUGACGGUACCUACAGAAGAAGGACCGGCUAACUACGUG
rnacentral:rRNA from 1 species